GUUAUCAUCUCUACCCAGUGGCUGAUCGUAGUCUUAGUUCGAGACGAGAAGCCGUGCGAGUACAGCCAGGAGGAGUUCGUCAUGAUGCAGAUCUACGUCAUGUGUCUCCUGGUCAUCAGCUUGAUCCUCUCCCUUCACUUCCUGUGUCGAUCCUGCAACACCUACACCUACAGUUACACCGGUGCCGUCCGCCAGCAGAGUCGACUUCACGCCACGUUGCUUUUCCUCACGCUGCUGGUUUCCGCCUGUAUCUGGGUGGUGUGGAUCACGAUGUUGGUCAGAGGGAAUCCAGAGUUGGACCGUAGACCUCGAUGGGACGACCCGGUGAUUUGCAUCGCUUUGGUGGCCAACGGUUGGGUGCUUCUGAUGGGCUACGGCUUGUCCCAGAUCGCCUUCUUCUGCCGAGGGGAGGCCAAGUCCAAGGACCUCCCUCUGAGCUUUGCAGGAUGGAGCAGUCCCAACGCUGAUAUUCCAGGAUUGAACAGCCCCAAGGAAGGGAAUGAGAACGGGAGCUUUGAGAGCGAUAGUGAAACCAGAAGAGAACUAAUGUCUUGGAACAGAUUCGAAGUAUCGGAAGCGUCCUGAUUUCUGCAGGAGGACGGAGCAGUCGCUGAGAUCUCCCUACGAGUUGGGAUUCUCCUUGACAGACAUCGACCCCGACAAGGACUACACCAUCCCUCGCCCGAAGACCACCAACUACCUGGAACCUUAUGAUGAAUAUUGAUUGAAAUAAUUGUCUGGUUCCUACACACACAUGAACAUAAACUGAUGUAUACCAAAGACAACGCCAAGCCCAAACUCGUGCACUGAUCUGUGCUUAAAGGGAUACUUUAACCCCCUAAAAAAUCCUUUAGUCAUCAAUUACUCACCGAAUGUUUUCUUGAAUAUUUAAAAAAGUUUUUCUUGCAUGCUGACAAAAAAAUCAUAAGACACAGAAGUUGUGAUGAAGUGAAGUAAAUGGUCCAACAACAACAACAAAAACUGCAAGAAAACACGAGUUACAAAUGUUUUGCACAACUUUCAUUGUCUAAUUCAAGUCAUAUUUAUCUAAAUAUAUGCUAAUUAUUUGAUCAAACACAUGCAUCUUUUCCAAAAUCGUACUUUGUGGCACGCAAGAAAAACACUAAUAUGUCUUCAAGAGUUCAAGGUAACACCGGUGUGACUUAAUGAUCUAUUUAACGACAUAUUUUCAUUUUUUUGGGUGACGUAUUCCUUUAAUGUACAAAAAAAAUAGUUUUUCUACAUUUCAUUUUCUUGUGCAAAUGUAAAUAUUUGUAAAUGUGCCAAUAUGUUAAACCCUCCGUCCCGAAAAGUAGAAAGAGACUCGAACAGAAUGACUCAUCUGCCCGAGUUUCAUCAUGGAGGAGCGAUGGGUUCAGCUCACAGGAAAUCCAUCACCAAAUGCUUUGUGAUGGUGUGUGUGUGUGUGUGUGUGUGUGUGUGUGUGUGUGUGUGUGUGUGUGUGUGUGUGUGUGUGUGUGUGUGUGUGUGUGUGUGUGUGUGUGUGUGUGUGUGUGUGUGUGGCUCUCAGAGUGUAUAUAAAAGCCCUGAGGUGAUGGAGGAGGUGUGGAACUGCCACUCUGAAGGUGCCAAACUGCUGAGGAGAGGAAGGAUGAAAGUAUGGAGGGGGAUUAUUAGAUGAGAGGAGACAGUGCCAUCAGUGAUUAACAUCUUCAUAUUCAAAGUUACUUUACAGUCGCUGGGUUUUGUUGGUGCUGCUGCACAGAAAACAAUGUUCAUAAAUGACACAAGGUGGGUGUCUUUAGUGACUUUCUACACAUGCUCAAUAAAAGGGUUUAUCCAUAAAAGUUG